rnacentral:lncRNA from 1 species
GAUUAAUCCACAGAUAUGGAAUUAGACUGCAUGGCUGAGUCUGAGCCUGCAAUUGUUUUUGUUUGGGGAUCCAAGCACAUGAAGAGAUUUGAAUGUGCAGCCUGCUUCCUUCUGAAUUACUUAAGAAGAAAUGUGAGCUCAUCAGACUGCCAUAUGGAGUCAACAGAAAGCAUAAAAGGGUUUGCAGGAAGGAGAGCAUCAAAGCUCGAUGGAAGCUGGCCAAGAAUAUUUGAAGAAUUAACAUGUACGUGA